CACAGACGCUCUAAUACAGACAUGGUGCGAAGAGUCUAUUGAGCUAGUUAGUAAUCCUCCGGCCCCUGAAUGCGGCUAAUCCCAACUGCGGAGCACAUUCCCACAAACCAGUGGGUAGUGGUCGUAACGGGCAACUCUGCAGCGGAACCGACUACUUUGGGUGUCCGUGUUUCCUUUUAUUUUUUAUAUUGGCUGCUUAUGGUGACAAUUGAGAGAUUGUUACCAUAUAGCUAUUGGAUUGGCCAUCCGGUG
rnacentral:other from 1 species